UGCGCGCUCACAGAAAUUAACCUGAUCUUCCUUGAAGUUUUUCAGCGAUCGAAUUCCAGUUUUGAGGGCCAUAUUGUUCCACGAGCUGUUGGAGUUUUUCAUCUUCAGAAGGUCUCCAGUGUCCACGAGGACAAGUCCUUGGAUCAUCACUAUUGCAUCCACUCGUUUCGUCCAUCAUCGUUCCUCAGGCCUCUAUCAACUGAGAAUCCUCAAAAAUAUUAGAAAGAAAUCUCCAGCCUAAGCUAAGAAGAGAAGUACAGAGAAAUAAGUAGAUAUAUAUGGAAUUGAAAUGGUGGGUUGGUUUUGAAGCAGCCGCAAGAUGGACUUUA
rnacentral:lncRNA from 1 species